rnacentral:rRNA from 1 species
UUGUUCGCCAAACAACUACGAGUAGUAACUUAAAACUUAAAAGACUUGACGGUGCCUCACUACAACCUAGAGGAGCCUGUGCAAUAACCGAUAACCCACGUUUAACCCAGCCCCGUCUUGCCAACAGUCUAUAUACCACCGUCGCAAGCUUACCUUGUGAAAGCUAUAAAGUAAGCUAAAUAACCCCCAUUAAGACGACAGGUCGAGGUGUAACUAAUGACAGGGAUUACCAUGGGCUACACUCUUCUCCCAAGCACGGACAAUACAAUGAAAAAGUAUUCAAAGAAGGAUUUAGCAGUAAGACCGGAAUAAAAUGCCGACCUGAACACAAUGCAAUGAGGCGCGUACACACCGCCCGUCACCCCUGACACCC